UACGUAGGUGGCGAAGCGUUGUCCGGAUUUACUGGGCGUAAAGAGCGCGCAGGCGGUCGUUCAAGUCGCGUGUGAAAGCCCCCGGCUCAACUGGGGAGGGUCACGCGAUACUGAUCGACUCGAAGGCAGGAGAGGGAAGUGGAAUUCCCGGUGUAGUGGUGAAAUGCGUAGAUAUCGGGAGGAACACCGGUGGCGAAGGCGGCGACCUGGGUCGAGACUGACGCUGAGGCGCGAAAGCGUGGGGAGCAAACAGG
rnacentral:rRNA from 1 species